GUCUCUGUAGUGCUAUGGAUAGCGCGUUGGACUUUUAAUCCAAAUGUCGUGGAUUCAAAUCCCACCUGGGAUG
rnacentral:tRNA from 1 species